rnacentral:sRNA from 1 species
ACUCAACGAGCUUUCAUUUAAGAGAGGUGAGUUAUGGUUGUAAAAGCAAGCUACCGAGAGUAGAUACUUGAUCAGCUGUGUAGCCUCAAACAUGUUUAUUUAGGAGUUU